UCCCUGGAGGACUAGUGGUUAGGCCACAGUGCUUUCACCUCUGCAGACUGUGUUCGAUUCCCGGCCAGGGAA
rnacentral:tRNA from 1 species